AGCUGGCUGGUCCCAUGAGGUGACUUCUGCCCAGUGCUCUGAUUGUCAAUGCGAAGAGAUUCAGCCACGCGCGGGUAAACGGCGGGAGUAACUAUGACUCUCUUAAGGUAGCCAAAUGCCUCGUCAACCAAUUAUUGACGCGCAUGAAUGGAUCAAUGAGAUUCCUGCUGUCCCUAGUUGCUGUCUGGUGAACCAACAGCCAAGGGAACGGGCUUGGAUGUGUCAGCGGGGAAAGAAGACCCUGUUGAGUUUGACUCUAGUUUGCUGCUGUGCAGUGACAUGAAGGGUGUAGCACAGGUGGGAGGCAAGUGCCACAGAACUGUAUGCCAAAAUGGCUGGGCUGAGAGCUGUGCGUGAAUCAAUCAGCCCCAAACAGAGUUGUUGAUGAAUGGUGCAAGUCAGCAGUGAAAUACCACUACCUUCACAGUCACUUUACUCAUUGAGUUGUCUGGGAACAGUAAGCCAUACAUGAUCAGCCUGUCCCAACCCAGAAGGGGGUGAGCAGUUUCUCUCUUCCCUACUCCCCGGAUGGGUGAAUGGAUGGGCUGUGGCCAAUCACUGGCUUCAUGUGCCAAGUGUGGAGACCACCAGUGGCCUUCCCCUCUGCAGCUGCCCCCUGUGGUGGACUGUGGGUGUGGGGGAGGGCUGAGUGUGGAACUUCCUCCUGCAUGACCCUGGAAAAGUAAGUGCAUUCCAAUCAGAAGCCUCAAGACACAGAUCAGAUUGGGAGUUUGGCUGGGGCGGCACGCCUGUUACAUCACAACGCAGGUGUCCUGAAGCAGUGCUCAGAUGGAACAGAAAUCUCUCGCAGAGGAGUAGGCCAAAGGUGCUGCUGAUGCAGCGACUUUCAGAGUGCAAGUCCAGAACAUGGAAGUGUGGCCUAUCGAUCCUUUGGUCAAGACUCGAGUUUGGGAUAAUCAAGCCAGAGGUGUCAGAAAAAUUACCACAGGGAUAACUGGCUUGUGGCAGCCAAGAGUUCAGAUCGACGUUGCUUUUUGAUCCUUCGAUGUCGGCUCUUCCUAGCUUGCCACCUGCAGCCGAGUGCAAGAGUUGGAUUGUUCACCCA
rnacentral:rRNA from 1 species